GAGUGUUUUACUAACCAUGCUUGUACUUUACUUUAAUCCUAAUCCACCACCUGAGCUGCUGCUGUUCACUGUGGAUGAGGAAGGUCACGUCACCAGUCUCUAAAUACCUUCGGACAAGUGGAAUGGACAUCCUGACAGCUCAUUGGAUGGUUGUGGCUGCAGCAGCAGAGCUGAAGGAUAUGACCAGAGAUGUCCCGAGUGUCAAGACAGCGUCGGAAAAAUGUGUCCAGUGGGCCAACAAUCAACUACAGGAGCAGACUCACCUGCCUUCAAUCAACUUGUCGCCUCCAGCAGAUUGAACCUUCUUCUCUAACUCUGUGCCAGAUGGCUGCCUCAACUGUGCUUGUGCCUUUUGGAAAUCCUGGGGCUUGACUGAAUGGAUGUGGAAGAAAGCCCCAAAGAAAGCCAGAGCGUCCCAGAGGCCCGCUAAGCACACUUUGUCACUCAACUUUCUCAACUGUGGUUCUGCAUUCAAUAAAACACUGAAUCAUCUAAAGUG